ensembl:miRNA Mir465b-2 microRNA 465b-2
UGCAAUGCCCUAUUUAGAAUGGUGCUGAUCUGAUGAAUAAAAAAAAAUGAUCAGGGCCUUUCUAAGUAGAGUAAGGCUUA